AUGACCAUUCGUCCCACGUCGAGAAUGAGGAUUUAUAAUAUGUAUCUCGUCGUCGCGCCGUCGGGCCAACUCCUGCAGGUGUGGAGGAUGCAGAAUACCAUAGAUACCCCACUCGAGAAUCGCACGACAUACAAAGACAUUGUGCCGUAUGUGAUCGAUGAUCGUAUUGAAUUGGCAAACAAAAAUGGCGGCGACAGGCUUAAUGAAACUGUCAUCGAUGACCAACAACACAUUGACGGUAAGGAGCGGCGUGAUAACGAGGUCAAGACGACAGAGGUCCUAGUCUUCAAGGUUGACAUGGAUAGGCAGAAACUGGUAGAGCUUCAGGACAUUGGAGAGUGCGCAAUCUUUCUUGGGUACAAUGCCGAUGUGUGCCUUUCGACCAAGGACACAACAUUGGAACCAAACUGCAUGUAUCUCACGGACGAUUUUGACCAUCCAUCAUGUAUGCCGAUGUUGCGGAAAGAUCUUGGUAUCUGGAACAUCAUGAAGAGGAUUAUGCAGAAGCUUGACGAUGCGUGGCCAAUCAUGCAUUCCUGGCUAGAUUUACCGGCUCUAAUUUGGAUCACACCAAGUUUAGCGUCGCCGGUGUGCUUGGCGCCGCCUAUUGCGGGGAGGGCAGCGACCACGGCACGACGUGCGAGGAGGGCCCAAUGCCGGCGUGAACUCGCGAGUGGGGUCCACCCAGGGGCCGCCGAUGGCUUAGGAUGGCCGCCGGUCGGACUCCUGGCGAUGGCUGCGGACCGGGAGGGGGCGGCGGUUUUUAAUUAUUAUUUUUGGGAUUGCAUGAUGACGAUUGGUAGGAUAGCGGAACGCUGA
rnacentral:rRNA from 1 species